GCUGUCUGCCCAUCUUUUCUGACCCUGGGACACCAUCCUUUAUUAACCUUCCCCACAACUCCUUGAAGGUCAAGCCCCCUUGGCUGAUACUCUGGGUUGUCACAGUAAAUGUGCCCUCUAUCUUUUGCAGGUCACUGAAAAGGAGGGUUCCUAAAGCAUUCACUCUUGACCCUGAAGGAGGUCUUGGUGGGACAAGGUUCUACUGAAGGGCCAAAGACAAUGGAGCAGCAAAGAUGACCCAGCCAAGCAGUGACCACAUAAAGCCCAUGGUGGCUGGAACAGAAACUGGGCACAGCCCCAUCUACUCUCUUCCCCUGCAACAAAUCAGCAUAAGAAACAUGUGGACUCUGGAAGGUUCUCAUGUGUUCCAUUUAUUUUGUCUCUCAAAUUUUAGGAAUAUUCUCCUUUAAUUAACUAAUCAACCUCUCAUGGCAAGAAUUUGAGAAAGUAAAUUUAUACUCAGGUUCUAAUUUUAAUAGGGAAGGAAGAAGUUACAGCUCAGCGCACCAUGAAGUUGAGACAGAGAUGGAGACACCUCAGCCCCACCUCUCUGGAACAGGAAAGAUGAUUGGGGAGGGAGCACAGGUCAGCAUGGGGAAGCGGAUCAUGGUGGACACGGGGGUGGGGUGGUCUCCCCAUCUCCUCACACUAUGCCUACAGGAA